UACGUAGGGACCAAGCGUUGUUCGGAUUCAUUGGGCGUAAAGGGUGCGUAGGCGGCUUUGUAAGUUAGAGGUGAAAGCCCGGAGCUCAACUCCGGAAUUGCCUUUAAGACUGCAUCGCUUGAAUCCGGGAGAGGUGAGUGGAAUUCCGAGUGUAGAGGUGAAAUUCGUAGAUAUUCGGAAGAACACCAGUGGCGAAGGCGGCUCACUGGACCGGUAUUGACGCUGAGGUGCGAAAGCGUGGGGAGCAAACAGG
rnacentral:rRNA from 1 species